GCUUGUACAGCAGGUGGAGAGGAGUCACUUAACAUCGCGGUGGCCACAGGGGGCACCAGGGAGUUCUGCUUGGCUACAGCUUUCUGUUAGAAACUUCCCAAAGUACUAUUUCCUUGCCCUGAACUGACACACCAGCAUUCCUGCGUUUCUUUCUGGAAACAACUUUCGCCUCAUGUAUGCCGUUAAAGCAACGAGCAUCUAACUCACACCCAGCAAAAGCCACUGUUUUGCUCUGGGUUCCCUUUGGCUGUGCAGCUGCUCCUUGCCCCAAGGCUGUUAUUUAUUAUUGCUGUAACAAAGACUGUGAGAACAGCUGAUGCACACAUCACGCCAUUAGAGCGAAGCCAGAAGGGUGUGCUUUACAAACCAACUCCACGUUGAUGGUUGGUGCCUUUUUGCCUUUUGGAGAACUGGAGCCAGCAUGAAAAGUCCAGUUGAGGAAAAACUGUUAUCUUUACCAAAGCCUGCUUGUGCCUUAUGAACAGUCCUGAGGAAACAGCUAUUGCAGAGCAGGAGACAUGCUGCGUGAGCCAGCCCCAACUGUUCAUCGUUUAUGGUCUCCUGAGCAAACCGUUACUUAUUGGCUGUUGACCCUGUGACCAAGAGAAGCGUUGACAAGGCUCCAAAGGAAUUCCCUCUGCAGAAAUGAGUUCAGAAGUAGAAAAGGUCAGUGUCCUAACAUUGGAAGACUACCUUGGAUUUUACCUGUUAUAUCGCCAAAAUAACUGACUUGACCUGAUUUUACAAGCCAGAUUUGUGUGUCUGCAACAUACUUUAGGUGACUUUCUAGGUGUGUUUUGUUCAGUUUCAAGGACAGAAUGAGAGCGGCAGACUAUGAAGUGAUUAGAGACAUGGCUUCCCAGGAACCCUCGAAUGGACCAAUGUGCAGAAAAAACAGAAGCCCGAUGGGGUCACUGGAGGAUAAGAAUGAACCGAGUGGUGAAAACGUUGAAAGGAUUUGAAAUUCACCUUCACUCACCAGAAAUCUCUCAAGCAGAUACUAUCCAAUUUAAAGGAAGAAAGUCUGAGACCCAGAAAUCAGGGGCAUCAGUGAAAACUUCCCAGAACAUAGCUUACCAGCAUUGGUAGGAAUUGCAAAGUCCUGUACUAACCAGCUUGCCAAAAUCCCAGAUAAAUCCACAGAGAACUUAAGAACAUCAUACUUCAUUAGGUAGGCACAAUACUUUGUUAAUUCUUUUUUUUUUUUUUUUAAAAAAAAAAAGGUUUGUCUGUUCGUAAGCUGU